rnacentral:rRNA from 1 species
UGGGGAAUAUUGCACAAUGGGGGAAACCCUGAUGCAGCGACGCCGCGUGAACGAUGAAGCCCUUCGGGGUGUAAAGUUCUUUCGACAGGAACGAUAAUGACGGUACCUGGAGAAGAAGCUGCGGCUAACUACGUGCCAGCAGCCGCGGUAAUACGUAGGCAGCGAGCGUUGUUCGGAGUUACUGGGCGUAAAGAGUGCGUAGGCGGCGAGCCAAGUUUGGUGUGAAAUCUCCCGGCUUAACCGGGAGGGUGCGCCGAAAACUGGUUGGCUGGAGUAUGGGAGAGGAAAGCGGAAUUCCUGGUGUAGCGGUGAGAUGCGUAGAUAUCAGGAGGAACACCUGCGGUGUAGACAGCUUUCUGGACCAAAACUGACGCUGAGGCACGAAAGCGUGGGUAGCAAACA